GCCAUCAUGGUGUAGCGGUUUUAGCACUGGACUAUGACUCUGUAGGCCAUGGUUUGAAUCCCUGCUCAGCCA